rnacentral:rRNA from 1 species
GCCGCGACCCGUUGCUGGGGACGUCGAAGGCCCGGGUGGACUGGUACCCCGACGCCGUGUUGCUUUAGUAGCAUGACGAAGGGGGAAACCUCCGGUGUCCUGGCUGCCCUGCGACGGUCGUGCAGAUGAGGGGCGAAUAAACGUCACUCUCGCGGCGUGCAAAAGGUCGGUGACCCACCCGACCCGUCUUGAAACACGGACCAAGGAGUCUAACAUGUGUGCGAGUCAUUGGGUGCACUAAACCCAGAGGCGUAAUGAAAGUGAAAGGUGGGCGUCCCGGGGUUCCCUCACUGAGGGGGUUCCGGUCGGCGCCUACCGGGGCCGAUCCUCGACAUGCCGUCGCUUCGCCGGUGUUUCUUCCCACACCAAAGCGGGGCCGCCAAGACGGGGCUGCUGGCGCGGGGUGAGAACCUUUCCCUCGUGACCUAGCCUCAGGUCCCGUGGGUACCCGGCGAGCGCGACAGUCCGGCUGCUGCUGUUGUCGGACCUGUUGAAGGCCACAGCAAUAGUAGCCGCCUGUACGCAGGGGGGCGCAGGCCCGGGACUUGCCAUUUGACGCCGUCGCGUAAAUCUGUUGUUGGCCUCGCCGGCUCUGCUUGGGCUCUCGGUUGGCGGGCCGCGCGCCAGGCGGCGGGCUUUAGGAGGAGGGCAUACACUGUCCAAGUCCGGGUCCGUCCGUCACGCGCGGUAUUUGCCUUCCG